rnacentral:ncRNA from 2 species
UCCUUAUAAAGAGUCGGGGGAGGAAACUGGUCUUACGAUCCCGCAGCAACCUCUUGUCAGUAAGAAGGUGCUCAAUCCAGCAGGCAUGAUCUGAAAGAUAAGGA